rnacentral:tRNA from 1 species
UCCCUCUUAGUUCAGUUGGCAACACUUUAUAAGAAGCUUGGCGGACUGCUAAUCCGUAUGUCACUGGUUCAAGUCCAGUAGAGGGAGCCA